rnacentral:tRNA from 1 species
GGUGGAAUAGUUUAAUAAAAAUUUUAUCUUGCAAAGAUAAUUAUGAUCUUAAGGAUCUUUCACUU